GGAGAGCCCCAUGUGGGAUUACAAACUUGCUGGAAAUGGAUGAGAAACCUUCUGCUCUGCUGGAGUUUAUCUUGAGUGUGCCUUAAAAUUCCAUUUCAUGGAGAACUGUGCGUGGUUGAAUUUUGAUUGAUUACUCAAUUAACUGAUGUAUUGGUAGAGUGAUUAAGAAAGAAGACUUUGGGAUCAGACCAACCUGGUUUUGAAUUCAAGCUCAGCAACUUACUAGGUAAGGAGGAGAAAAGAAAGAAGGAAAAAUUGGAAAGAUAAAUGGGGUCUUUCCAGUGAAGCUGCAGUUAUGGCAUUAACCACCCAGUUGUUACCUACUUCUAGAUGAAACUCCAACCCCUAACACAGGGGAGAUUCAAUACUGACUGUCAUGUUAUCCACUGGAGAAUUUUACUAAUAAAAUUGUAUCCCUGCUCUAUUCAGGGCUCAAUUUUCCUACAUAAUUAAGAGUUUGGAAUUCGGGCAAUAUCAAGAACCACAUCUGUCCUGAAAUCAAUUAUCUCUGUUUGAAACACAAGAAAUAAGAAGACCAUUUUGAGAAGAACAGAGAGUAGCCUUAAGAAAAUCCCUGUCGCAAGCACUCUGGGAUUUGGACUCAAAUGCUAAUUAUACAGAACCACUUGGGUGCCCAGCUGCUGUCCAUUCUCUACACUUAUCCCACCUGAUGGAAGGCUGUUAAGAAAAACAUCACUGCAAUGCCUAAUAAACAGACAUGGGUCCCAGACCCAAUAAGAGUGAAACCAUCCCCCUAUUUAAAUGAAAUUAUGGCUGAUGAGAAAGACAAAUUAAUUUCUCUGUCCCUAGUAUUACACAAAACUUUGGAUGCUGCCAUUGUUACAAUUUUAUUUUCCCCAGGAGCUCAGAGUCCCACCUUCAUUCUUUUUGUUUAAUGCUUAAGCUUGCCUGUCCACCUAUGGAAGACUAGAAUGAGCAAAGACCAUGUAUUCAAUGAUCUGUAAAUCUAACAGGAAACAAUAUAAUAAAUAUAUUGUGUUUGCUAACCAAA
rnacentral:lncRNA from 1 species